rnacentral:rRNA from 1 species
GACGAACGCUGGCGGCGUGCUUAACACAUGCAAGUCGAACGGAAAGGCCCUGCUUUUGUGGGGUGCUCGAGUGGCGAACGGGUGAGUAACACGUGAGUAACCUGCCCUUGACUUUGGGAUAACUUCAGGAAACUGGGGCUAAUACCGGAUAGGAGCUCCUGCUGCAUGGUGGGGGUUGGAAAGUUUCGGCGGUUGGGGAUGGACUCGCGGCUUAUCAGCUUGUUGGUGGGGUAGUGGCUUACCAAGGCUUUGACGGGUAGCCGGCCUGAGAGGGUGACCGGCCACAUUGGGACUGAGAUACGGCCCAGACUCCUACGGGAGGCAGCAGUGGGAAUAUUGCACAAUGGGCGGAAGCCUGAUGCAGCAACGCCGCGUGCGGGAUGACGGCCUUCGGGUUGUAAACCGCUGUCGCCUGUGACGAAGCGUGAGUGACGGUAAUGGGUAAAGAAGCACCGGCUAACUACGUG